GUGGAGCGACGAACCAGGGCUUGCCCUGGGGCAGAGCCGCGAACGGGUGAGUAACACGUGGGUUACCUGCCUCGAUGACUGGGACAACCCGGGGAAACUCGGGCUAAUACCGGAUGUGCCCGCAAGGGGAAAGGAAGCUUCGGCCUCCGCAUCGAGAUGGGCCCGCGGCCCAUUAGCUUGUUGGUGAGGUAACGGCUCACCAAGGCUUCGAUGGGUAGCUGGUCUGAGAGGACGAUCAGCCACACUGGGACUGAGACACGGCCCAGACUCCUACGGGAGGCAGCAGUGGGGAAUCUUGCGCAAUGCGCGAAAGCGUGACGCAGCAACGCCGCGUGGGGGAAGAAGGCUUUCGGGUUGUAAACCCCUUUCAGUUGGGACGAAGCUUCGCCGGUGAACAGCCGGCUGGAGUGACGGUACCUUCACAAGAAGCACCGGCUAACUACGUGCCAGCAGCCGCGGUAAUACGUAGGGUGCAAGCGUUGUCCGGAAUUAUUGGGCGUAAAGAGCGUGUAGGCGGCCCGAUUAGUCCGCUGUGAAAGUCCAGGGCUCAACCCUGGAAUGCCGGUGGAUACUAUCGGGCUAGAGUCCGGAAGGGGCGAGUGGAAUUCCUGGUGUAGCGGUGAAAUGCGCAGAUAUCAGGAGGAACACCAAUGGCGAA
rnacentral:rRNA from 1 species